UUAGCCCUCUCAAAACCCUUUUUCCCUCGCCUCUCUCCUCCUUCCACUCUUCUCGAAGGCGAGGAGCGCCAUGGAGUCGAUUAGAUCCGAGAGGUCUCUGUCCUCGGAGAUCGGCGACGGCCGCCGAAGCGGAUGGCCCUCUCUCGAUCGACAGCCGCCUAACUACGCCAGCUCUGCCGUCCAGGACGCUUUGGAGCACUUGGCAUCAAUUGAUCUCCUAGAACUAUGUAAUGAAGCAAAAGUUGAGCAUUGUCGAGCAACUAGGGACUUAAGCAGCUGUGGACGUUGUGUACAACAUGUGCUCAACUCAUGUGGACAUGCCUCUUUAUGUGAAGAAUGCAGCAAGAGAUGUGAUGUUUGCCCAAUUUGUAGAACCUUGAUACCGAGUGAUGGAUGUCGACUCCGUCUUCGUCUCUACUAUAAGUGCAUUGAGGUUGGCCUUAUCUCGAAACAGCAUGAUGAUAGAUCCCAAGAGAGAGAAGUCUGCCAAAAACAUAUGACGGUUCAUAUUGAACGGUUAUAUUCUCUUUUUGAUGUGGCAUUGAAGAACAAUCUAGUUUCUUUGAUUUGUCAUUAUAUUACAGAUGUUUGUAUGAAUGAGAAUGCAGUAUCAAGUGACCCGGUAUUUGCUUUUCUUUUGGAUGAAGUGGUUGUGAAGGACUGGUGCAAAGAGACAUUUAAAAAUAUUGUCUCUGAUCUUUGUGAGAUAUACAGUCAUGGAACAGAAGCUAUGAGAUCUAGGGUGUCUUUGAUGCAGAAGUUUGCAUUGUAUCUAAGUGGCCUUUCAAAUGUUCUUGAGGUCAUGACUUCAUCAUUUAAAGAAACAUUUGCUGCUCAAGUUCAUGACCUGCAUCACCUCUUGGAGAAUGUACUGAAGGCAAAGCAGCAUUUGGAGGUCAUGAUUUGGUGUACCAGACACCAGUUCCUUCGUGAUGUUCAAUCACGAUUUUAUAAUUUAGGAAAUUCUGAGGCAUGGAACUUGGAUGUUUAUGAAAGGAAGUCAGCUGCAAUUAAGAGAUCAUGGCCUCAGUGCUCGAGUAACUUGGUGGAUUCUGCUGGGCAGCAUGAUAACACACUUUUUAUUGAAGAUGCAUUAUCAAAUCUAGGGAUAGAAGAAAGUUACGUGCAGACAGGGGUAGAAGUGGAUAUUUCUUGCUUGCAAGAUGAUAGUUCAGGAUUGCUAUUCCUAUCCAAGAUAGAUAUUGCAGGUGGAAAUGGAUAUCCAUUUCGGAAUUUGCAAGCUGCUGCAGAUAUACUCUUUCUGCGUGGGACCUCUGAUAUGGUGGUUGCUAAACAAGCGAUAUUUCUAUAUUAUCUAUUUGAUCGGCAUUGGAAGAGACCUGAUGCGGAAUGGAAACACAUAGUUGAUGAUUUUGCUAUUUCCUUUGGCAUUGCUACCCAUUCAGUACAGGAGUCUUUGGUUUUCUAUCUCUUGGAUGAUCAUACCCCUCAGGCUUUACAGGAAGCUAUAAAUCUUCUCCCUGAAGUUGCUGGCCCAGAAAUACAUCCGAAGAUAGCUCAAGUUCUCUUAGAACGUCAGCGUGCUGACGUCGCCUUGUCUAUUUUACGUUGCAGUGGGCGUGAUGGAGGCUUGUAUAAUAUAAACACUGAUAAUGAUUUCCCACAGCAUGAGUUCCUAGGCGAGGCAAUAACAGCAGUUAGAGUUAGAAUUGAGUGUGGGCUUCUGACAGAAGCCUUUAUGUUUCAGAGGAUGCAGUGUUCAAAAGCUAAAGACAAAAACUUGAAGUAUAAAUUGGAUAUAGGAUUUUCCAACUCUUCAAACACCGAGUUCUGGAUAUACCUCACUGAAGUUUUGGUAACUGAAAUUUGCCAUCUCUGUAUCCGGAGGAACUUGGUAGACAGAAUGAUUGAGUUCCCUUGGAACUCUGAUGAGGAGAAGCAUCUCCACAAGUGUCUCUUUGAUCAUGGUUCUCAAAAUCCUUCAUCAACAUGUGGUAGUCUUUUAGUGGUCUUCUAUCUUCAGCGUUAUAGAUUCACAGAGGCAUAUCUAGUCAAUCGUGGUAUUCAGACCAUGGAACAGACAAUUCUAGAGUCUGCAAAUGAAGAUGUUGCUUCUAGGGUACAGUUGAUAUGUCAGUGGAGGGAAGGAUUGAUUGAUAAAUGUCUCGAUUUGCUGCCUGAGGUACAACGGCAGAACAUAUUGGCUGAAAAUGUCACUGAUUAUGGUCAUGUUUCUUUAGAAGAUGUUCAGAUGUCUUUAGUAUCUGAUUUAUCCAAUGCACAGCCAAAUCUUUCUACCAUCCCAAAUAACUCCUCUGUCGUUCUUCAAACAAAUUCAAGUUCUUAUGCUUUGAGAAAAUCUAAUGCACCUGCAGCAAGCCCUAUGCAUGACAACAAUUUUGGGACUGCAAGCAAGGUUCCAUCUGCUAUCCAACGGAGGCUUCUUGUGUCUUUUGAAAGCCCGUCUGCCAAUAUGAAUGCAGAAGCUACUGAUGGAGCAUAUUCGUCAUAUCCCUUUAAUGGAGUAAUCCCAUCAUCUAAUGAUACUAAUGUUAGAGACAUGAUGUGGCAAGCUAACAUGAAACAAGCAUAUCAACCUGUUGAUGGUGACCAUUCUGUAAAGUUUCACCAUGGUUCUAAAGCUAAGCCCACAAGAGGGCCGAAUUCAAGUGCAGCAAGAGUGCUUCGGAAUGAAAACCCGCGGCUUGUUUUUCCCAGAGUCACUUCAGCAGACCAUUGUCAUGAUGGCUCUCGGAAGGAGUCUGUUCAUGACCCAAUUCAAAGUUCCAGACGUUACAAUCUGCCUGAUGGAUCAUUGACCAUGAUUUCAAGGGAGGCUAAUGCGAGUUCAUGGAGUUUUGGAAGGAGUGAUAUCCCUGAAGAUAAAGGCCGGAUGGUUGGGUCAAGGUGGAGAUCUGAUGAAUCUAGUGAAGAUGAAGAGGAUUUCGAGUCUGCCAAGUUGACGGCUGGUGGAGCUUCCGCUACAAGUAGAAGGCGACCCAGGCUUUUCAGAAGAUGAUGUUCAAAGUGGACGUGAAGCAUGAUUGGACUUUUCCGAGUAUGUAGUAAUUACUCUCUGCUAUCAUUGGUCAUUAUGCACAAGCAGGUCUGAGAGUGAGGAAAUAUUAAUUCAACUGCAGAAAGAGCUCCACCAUCAAUCAAGGUGCACUGUGAAUGCUCGUCUGCUGAACAUACUAAUAGGAGCUCCCACGGUGCUGAAGCUUAUAAACUUCUAUCGGGGCAGGUGUAUCAAUUGUUUCAUGUGCAAGUCAAGAAAUUGGGAUGACAUAUCUGGGGAUUGUUGCCAUAUUUGGGAUCAUCUUUGCCUCAUACCUUCUUUGGUUUGAUAAAUGCGAUCAACUACCCUCCAAGAGGAUGUGAUGCUGACACUGUUUCUUUCAGAAUUUGUGGAAAUUUGUAUGGGAUGUAUGUUGUUAACAGCACUUGUAGAAGCAUUCACAAGAAAACAUAAUUAGUACGUGAUGGGGAUUGAGCAGGAUAGUAAUCAAAAUACUAGGUUUUGAUGAGGCUGCUGCAUAUAUAGAAAUAUCCACAAUUUCAGAUUCAAAAGGACAAUGUUUUGUUAUGUUUAUCAUAUUUUAGCUGGUGAGUUGGGAUUGUUUAUUUCUAGAAUGUGAGCCUUGUGAUCUUGUGUAGAAUUCUACAGUGAAUGUUAGCUCAAAUGAUUGGAGAUCAUUUGAACAGAUCAGAUCGGAAUUGGACCAAAAGAAUGAUUCUGUAAGAAAAUGACAGAAUGACUGGUUCCUCGGUCAAAGUCAAAAUUCUUUACCUGAAUUCACCAGGCUGUGUGCUUCAUGAUGCGUACUGCGGGCGGGGACAAAACGCCCCGUCAGAUUCGUAGUCGCACGAAUCAUAAUGCAAGAACGCAGAGAUCCAGCCGUCGACUGGCGCUGACGACGACAAAAAUCGACGUUUCCUUCCGACCGUCGUAUCUAACAGACAGCGGCAAACACUUGUUUUCCGUCGUUGAUUUUACACUGGCGGUUUACUCAUGCGAUGAUCAGAUGCUUUUGGAGAGAAUCAUUGGGGAACAGUGGCAUGUGAGUAGAAAUUUUGUUGGGGUGACUACGACACGUCUCGUUCGUCUUGAGGUACAAAGGAGGGAGCGGAGUGCUCUCGUUUUGAGUUCCCCUCUUCCCUCUUCGCCGCCGACUUCUAGCACCCGGUCUUGUCGAGUAUGUCGUCGGAGAGGGGUCAACCACUGCCCAAGUUUGGGGAGUGGGAUGUCAAUAAUCCUGCCUCAGCUGAUGGGUUCACUAUUAUUUUUAACAAAGCUCGAGAUGAGAAGAAAACAAUGUGGGUGGUUUACAACCAGAUGAAACCUAUCAAUAUCCAACAAAAAGUAGAAAAUGGUUUUGCUGCGGUUGAAUGCCGGUGCUAGAGCCAUUGGUUGGUAUAGCAGGGAUAAAGAAAUUUUAUAGUGAGGUACAGAUGCUAUCUACAAUCUAUUAUGUUCGAUCGUCCAUGUGUAUAAACGUAGUACUAUCUUUAUUUCAGUUCUGUCAUUAUGUUUUGUCAUUUGGAUCCGAGGGUAAAUUAACAAGAGCAGUCCUCUUGCUUGCAAAGUUGUGAAACCUUGAUUUGCGGGUUAAUAACAUAUUAGCCAUUGUUGUUA